rnacentral:lncRNA from 1 species
AACUCCAAUUUCGAAUCCAACUCCAACUCAAAUUCCAACUCCAACUCCUCAAGGUUCGAGUACUCCAACUACUCAAGUACCAACAACAAUGGGUGAAUCUAAUUCCGACUCGGACCUCGGAGAUAAUGAUGGUAACUAACUAAUUAUAAUCGAUAUGUAUAUUAUAUAAUUGAUUGAUUUAUGUGUAUUUAUUGACUCAUUAUUUUUUAUUUCAGAAUUGAGUCUACCAAAUAGAAGAGGUAGAAACAUAGAUCAUCCGAAAGAUCAUCCCAAACAAGGUGAAAGAUUUAAAGUAGAAUGGGAGCCAACGCAC